UCUUUCAAUCAGAUAUCACUAUUCGUAAAUGCAAAUAUUUUUCGUAUACCUUUUGAAUAUUUCAAAAUGCCAACUGCACCCAAUUAAGCAUUAUAUUAGAGCAAAAGUACAGUCAAUUUUCACCCCCGUGGGCAUAGUGUAACAUAAAACCUGAGAACUUGCAUAGUGGAACAGGCUAAGUUGAUUAGGUAGCCAUAUUUUACAGGCUAUAAAGUGAUCAUUUGCACUCUCUCAAGAGCCCUGUGCAUGUAAAGAAGCAACUUGUUUGCUCCUGAUGCUCUAUUUGUGCUUUUAAUAAACAAAGCUUCGUACAUACUAUGUAACG
rnacentral:lncRNA from 1 species